GACUAGACGACCUCUAAGGUCCCUUUCCAGCUCUAUUCCGAUCAACUGAUUUGUCAGUAGGCCUGUUGGGUUUUCCCUGGAGAAUUUCCACCUUGGGCUUUUUCCAGGUUGCUCUGCAGCCUCUCCCUCCUGCCUUCGGGGGUGGGGGGUGGGGAGGAUUGUGUGUGUGUGCGUGCGUGCGAUUUGUUUUCCAACUGGCUGGAUGUGAUGAAUCACAUUUUCCUUUUUGGGCAGAGGAAGACAGCCAUGGGAUGUAGGGAGGAGUUGCGGGGUGCAAGCCAGCCAGAGAGGAACGGAAUGGUGGAAGGACCAACCGAGUUGCGUCGCACCACAACGUCCCCCAGCCCAGCACCCUGUUGGGGGACCCCAGCGGAGGAGGGGGGGGGUAUUCUUAAAUUUGGGUGCCCAGCAGCAAAACCCCUUCCUCUCCUCCCAUUCCCCAAACUCCUCCCUUCCCCCAACCCACCCACUCCCCAGUAUAAACGACCAAGGAUCAGCAAUAGGUAAUUUCAGCUAUACAUGUAACUAGUGUUCUCUCUCGUUUUUUCGUUUUCAAAAGUAGCGUUACGUUUUUUUUGUUUUUGUUUUUUCAAAAUGGGUGGCCUAGUUUCAAACAAUAAUAACUUUAACGGGGGGCGGAUCUCCCCGAGGAAAAAGCCUGCAAAAUGUGGUGUGUGGAGGGCAGGAGGCUGGAACGGUGGGUUCCAAGCAGAGAGGGACAGAUUAAAGAUGGUUUGUCGUGGACCAAUGAAGUGCGCGCCGCGAAAAACUCUGCAGCGCAGACGCUCCCCCCCCGAGAGUUGAAUCUCCCCCCCCCAAAAUGAGCACCUCCCUCCUUUUCUUCCUUUGCUAGCCUCUCCCCUCAAAAAUAUUUUUUUGGGGGAAAUGUAUUGCAUUCCAGGGAAAAGGGAAAAAAAAAAUAAGAAGUAAAGGAACGCUGCACAAUUUGGAGGAGGAAGGAAAUAAUUUUUUUUAACGGGCAAAAUAAGCGGCGUUUUCCUGUUUGAAAGCCGAAUGCUUAAGCCCGGUGAAAUUUUUCCAACUCUUCCUUCCUUCCCGAUUCCGAACAUUAAAAAACGUGGACUGAUUUUGAUCGGGGAGGUUUUCCCCAAAAGGACCCCCCCCCCAAAAAAAACAACCCAUGGCACAUUUUGAUUUUGCGAUUAUUUAUGGAAGGAAGAAUCACACACACAGCGUUCUUAGAUUCAACUCUCCCCGUUUGUUCUCCCUGUAAAAUUCCUGCCCCCACCCCUUUUUUUUGUCUCUUUUAGGAAGAUGGAGGAGGGGAAUAUCCAGAACGCUGCCAAAGGCCCUGCUGCCUGGUGAAGUAUGGGAGUUCCCAAUCCUGGCCUAAAAACAUUGCAGCUCCUUUCGCGGCAGUUUAACCAUCUUCCAAAUUUAACUUUUUCGUGUGUUCCCUCCCCUUCCUGCCCCGCUGCAGGGAAGUGUCUGGAUGACCUCCCCUCCUCCCAUUUUUUUUCCUGGCUCUGCCGUUGCCGCCGCAGCAUUUGCAGGCAUCGCGAUGAUGUACCUUCCCAUCGUUUGUGGAGUGGCAAGACCUGCGUGACCGUUCUUUCCAACCUUGUGAAAGUUUCCCCCCCCCCAAGCUAAGCCUGGGAGGGGGGCAUUGCUACUCCUCUUUGGCGUAGUGGGGAAACCUUUCCAGGUAAACCAGGUUCCCUCCCCCCCCUCUGCACCUCUGGUUGUGAUUCAUAGGUCCGCCGCGAAGUUCCCUGGACAGUACACUGUGUAGAAUUCCCAGUGUAGAAUCAAGCAGGGGAGUUGAGGUUCAGGUACCUUUGAACCCUGUUCCACCUGCAGAAUUGGGAGCCGAGGUGCUGGGGGCGGGGUCACACCUGCCCUCCCCCUCCCUUCUGCACAGGGACUGGCUCCAGGGACCUCGUAGACAUGCCAUGG